rnacentral:rRNA from 1 species
AUUGAACGCUGGCGGCAGGCUUAACACAUGCAAGUCGAGCGGAGAGAGGUAGCUUGCUACUGAUCUUAGCGGCGGACGGGUGAGUAAUGCUUAGGAAUCUGCCUAUUAGUGGGGGACAACAUUUCGAAAGGAAUGCUAAUACCGCAUACGUCCUACGGGAGAAAGCUGGGGAUCUUCGGACCUUGCGCUAAUAGAUGAGCCUAAGUCGGAUUAGCUAGUUGGUGGGGUAAAGGCCUACCAAGGCGACGAUCUGUAGCGGGUCUGAGAGGAUGAUCCGCCACACGGGGACUGGAACACGGCCCAGACUCCUACGGGAGGAAGCAGUGGGGAAUAUUGGACAAUGGGCGCAAGCCUGAUCCAGCCAUGCCGCGUGUGUGAAGAAGGCCUUAUGGUUGUAAAGCACUUUAAGCGAGGAGGAGGCUACUUUAGAUAAUACCUAGAGAUAGUGGACGUUACUCGCAGAAUAAGCACCGGCUAACUCUGUGCCAGCCGCCGCAGUAA